GAAGCUUCAGCACUGUGUGAAGUCAACUGUGAGAAAAAUAGCUUAGGAGUGAUUUUAUCAUUCUGUGCUAGAAAGUGAUGUAAGAAACCACAGAAAUCUGCUAGGCUGAUUCUUGAGCGUGCAAUGGGAUUCUUUCAUCUGGUUUCACUUGUAAAUGAGAGUUUUAUGUAAAUGUUAGAAAAUCAUAAUUAUGACAUAGACUUUUCAGAGAAUUUGUACUUCCAGAUGUAAUGGAGAUGUGGGAGCAAUCUGGGAACAGAGAAUUGUUUGAAAGAGACGUCUCUGACUUCACCCCUUUUGAGGUUUUGCUCACUCAGAGCCUGUCCCUGGUGCAGUGAUCCAGUGUCAGGCUGAGCUCUGUGCUAGUCCAUACAGGUAUUCUAUCAACUGGGAUGUAAUGGUGCCACAUUUUUCCAUUUUUGCUACAUGUUGUUCUUCCUGCCCUUGUGUGGGUUAUGUUGUCCUGGCAGAGACUGACAUUAACACUGACCUCAUUAACAUUCUUUAUUUCUUUUUUAGAUAACUGAAAUUUCACAUUACAGCAAGAUGGAGGCGAGGGGGAGGAAAAGUCAGCUGUUUUCCAUGCCACGAGGCAGGAUUUGAAACCAGCUUGUGAUUGCUGCUGUCAGGGGACCCUGUAGCAUCCUCCCUGCAGUGGAUGGGCUUGUGCAUCUCCAGCUGUGGUUGCCAGCCUGGACAAGCCCCAGCUGACCUCGGGCAAGUCCACACAAUUUGAUUCACAGUUCUCACGCCUCAGCUCGACCAAACCCAUACCCUGACCUUGUAGCUGCGGGCAAGAUCAAAAUUCCUUAGCAGCGGUUGUUUGUUCACUCCCAUGAGUCAGCGAUGAGGAGGAUAAGGGAAGGUGCGCUCCCGGUCGGAGCCCUGCCACCGCGGCUGCUGUGGCUGCUGCCACCAGAGGACACUCUUGGAUAGCCUAUGGAUCCUUCCCGGCAGGAAAGCAUCGCUUCCCCCUCAGAUAUCUUUGUAAACAUGUGCAAUGUACAGAGAAGGAGAGACCAGGGCCUCAUGGCUGGGAUCUGGGGCAGAGGAGCAGGAGGACACCAGGGAUCUGCUUUCAUGGAGAUUUGGUAACAGAUCCUGCCUUUCAGGAUGAUUCCCAC
rnacentral:lncRNA from 1 species